rnacentral:rRNA from 1 species
GACGAACGCUGGCGGCGUGCCUAAUACCUGCAAGUAGAACGCAGUUGCGAACAGGUGAGUAACGCGUAGGUAACUGCCUCAUAGCGGGGGAUAAAUAUUGGACACGAUAGCUAAUACCGCAUACUGUGAGAUGGACCUGCUUUGUAUUAGCUAGUUGGUGAGUUAAAGGCUCACCAAGGCGACGAUACAUAGCCGACCUGAGAGGGUGAUCGGCCAAACCUGGACUGAGCAACGGUCCAGACUCUGACGUGAGGCAGAAGAAGGGCAUCUUCGGCAAUGGACGUAAGUCUGAACGAGCAACGCCGCGUGAGUGAAGUAGGUUGUCGGAUCGUAAAGCUCUGUUGUUAGAGAAGCGUUAACUAACCAGAAUGGGAUGGCUAACUACGUGCCAGCAGCCGCGGUAAUUC